UCUAAUUUGGCAGAAAUUUUGUAUUAAUUUUAGAAAUUAAUGAUGUAUUAAGUACAAUUAGA
rnacentral:tRNA from 1 species